CUCUUAUCAAGAGAGGUGGAGGGAUAGGGCCCUGUGAAACCCGGCAACCUGUAUUAAUAUAAGGUGCCAAUUCCUGUAGAUAUUUCUACAAGAUAAGAA
rnacentral:ncRNA from 2 species